rnacentral:rRNA from 1 species
CCUACGGGUGGCAGCAGUGAGGAAUAUUGGUCAAUGGACGGAAGUCUGAACCAGCCAUGCCGCGUGCAGGAAGACGGCUCUAUGAGUUGUAAACUGCUUUUGUACAAGGGUAAACCUGAAUACGUGUAUUCAGCUGAAAGUACUGUACGAAUAAGGAUCGGCUAACUCUGUGCCAGCAGCCGCGGUAAUACGGAGGAUCCAAGCGUUAUCCGGAUUUAUUGGGUUUAAAGGGUGCGUAGGCGGAUUGAUAAGUUAGAGGUGAAAUGUCCGAGCUUAACUCGGGAACUGCCUCUAAUACUGUUGGUCUAGAGAGUAGAUGCGGUAGGCGGAAUGUAUGGUGUAGCGGUGAAAUGCUUAGAGAUCAUACAGAACACCGAUUGCGAAGGCAGCUUACCAAUCUAUAUCUGACGUUGAGGCACGAAAGCGUGGGGAGCAAACAGGAUUAGAUACCCCGGUAGUC